rnacentral:lncRNA from 1 species
UUCCUGCAGAUUCUGAUCAGUAUGUUCUUCCUUCAGCAUCAUAGACAGAUAUAGAAAAGAGCAUUUAUUAAUAAACAGCUGUAGAACAAUGAACAGUUAACUCAUAUCAAAGCUCAGCUGCUGUAAUUUAACAAUUUUCAUUUUAUUCAAAGAUUUUCCAUAAACUUCAAGACUGGAUCAUCAGAUGGGGACGACGUCGCUCUCCACUUCAACCCACUCAUUGGUCAGAAAGUGACUCUGAGCAGCUGCAGGAACGGGAAGUGGGAGAGUGAGGAAUCAGCUUCAGCCGAGCCGUUCACCAGUGGAGCUCCCUUCACCAUGUUUGUGAUCAUCAGUGCAGAGGGUUAUGAGGUUAAUGUGAAUGGAAUGGAACUCUGCAAGUUCAAACAUCGCGUACCAUUAGAGAAAGUAUCAGUUCUUAACAUUGCUGGAGGUGUGACCAUUGACAUGGUCGGGUUUGUCAUGGUAAGUGUACAACUUACCACAAAAAAUGCACUCGUCUUACAGACAAAAUUCAACAACAGAUCUGUUGUCUAAAGCAUCUUCCUCCCUUUUUUUUUUAGAACUGGAGCAAAGCAGCUGUCUUUGAGGAGUCUGAGAUGGUCGUCAUGUGAGAGCUGGUUAUAAGAGAAACCCUUCACUAAGAUAUUGAACAUUAAUAUGAUUUUCUUCUUUACAUGCUUUUUUAGUGUUAUGCUCUAUUUUAUGAUUCCUAAAACACUCAGAACUUCAAAACAAGAGAGAAUUGAUGUGCAUGAUAUGUUUUUCUGACAAAAGGAAGAUUUACAAAACAGAUAGUUUCACCUGUAUACAGAGACAGGUGGCGUGCUUGCAGAAAUGGCUUCUUUCUCAUCACUCUCCCAUACAGCUUCUCCUUGUGUAAAGUGCGCUGUAUUGUUGACCGAUGCACAG